GGAAAACUGGAGCUUUAAUUACAUCGUGUUCACUCACAUUUACUGUGAUUCUGUUGGUAUCAGUCGCUGGAGAAGGGUUUUACACUGACACAUUUACUGUUGGUUUGUGUAACACAUGCAGUCACUACCGCAGGUUGAGGCAGCACGGAGCACACAGGACACAGAGGACGUUUUAAAUAUUUAUUAAUGAAUCACACACACUUCACCACUCCGCAGCAGUGUGUCUCUUAAUGUCCACGCCAAAUGUACAUACGGCUCGUGUGUGUCAGUCAAACAGCGAUCCUCAGUCCAGCUGCUACUGCCUUUAAAGGAGGAGAUGAUUAGGCAACUCAAUGCAGCUGUGCCAAUAAACUCACCUGUUACUGCUCCUGCUGAGCCAGCUCCGCACAUUCCCUCUCCCACAGCUGAGUGCCCAAACCAAGCCCACACCCACAGUUUGUUUUUAUUAGGGCUCACAAUGACCAUAUUGCUUUUGCUUCGAUUAUUAGUUUUGAGUUCACCGGGAUUAAGGCUUGUUCUUCAGUAACAACAGACCCAGAGGAGCUGAUAUCCGGUUUGUUCGCUGCAGUCUGCCUCUGACCACUUCAUAGCAGCCAAGCACACCAGUCCUUUUAAGAGGUAUGUGGAUGAUAUCAACUUCCGGCUGGGCCACUAUUAUUUCUUCACUUGCUGUCAUGUUUCGGCCAUGUCCAUCUCUGAGACCUGGUAUGCCAUUAAAGACCAUGGCACCAACUACUGCAACCUCUACAACCUCAUUGAAGGAAGUGGUCUAACUGAAGCCAGAGGUUAUAAAGAGGUUACCAGUGACUUUGAAUGUACCCAACGCUCCUCUGCUAACUGCACUGUCUAUUGACUGAAUAUGAAGGAUGACCAGAGACCAUCAUAUCUAGACACAUCCCAUGACAAUUUAGAAAUUUAGAAUUUAAAUUUAAACAGACUCUUCAUAUAUUCUCAGUUACAUAUCAUAAUAUUACAAUUUUGACUAAAUAAAUGUUUGUUCCAUGUAUGUAUACAAGUUUUGAUUCUUUUGGUUUGUUUUUUUUAGCAUAUUUUCUGGCCUUUAUUUUUGAUAGGAUAGAGAGCUAGCUGUGAAAGGGGGGCAGAGAGAGAGUGGGGAGGACAUGCAUGUUGGGGCAGCAGCACAACCAGGUCAGCUACGCCACCCCCUGGUUCUUGAGUGCAUUUGAGUAACUGAUUCGCAAAUAUGAAAUGAUAAAUAAAAUGGACACAUAUACAACCUAAGUUAUGUUUGAUUACCAAUUGUUGGUUUUUACUUAUGAGGCAGAUAUGUCAUGUUUAAGGAUUGUAACCUAAGUUAACUGCCAUGUAUUUUUGUUCCACUACUUUGGUAACAGUCCAAGACUUGUUUGCCUUUUGAUUCCCCAACUAACAAUUUUUUUUCAACUGAUUACAUUCUAUACCGUAUUUUACCUUCCCAUUUCUAUUACCCCUUAUUGUGUUAAAUAAA